GUGCCUACGGGGCGCAGCAGUGGGGAAUAUUGGGCAAUGGGCGCAAGCCUGACCCAGCAACGCCGCGUGAAGGAAGAAGGCUUUCGGGUUGUAAACUUCUUUUGACGGGGAAGAGUAGAAGACGGCACCUGUCGAAUAAGCCACGGCUAACUACGUGCCAGCAGCCGCGGUAAUACGUAGGUGGCAAGCGUUGUCCGGAUUCACUGGGUGUAAAGGGUGCGUAGACGGCCAUGCAAGCCAGGGGUGAAAGCCCGGGGCC
rnacentral:rRNA from 1 species